rnacentral:rRNA from 1 species
UACGAAGGGGGCUAGCGUUGUUCGGAAUUACUGGGCGUAAAGCGCACGUAGGCGGAUCGAUCAGUCAGGGGUGAAAUCCCAGAGCUCAACUCUGGAACUGCCUUUGAUACUGUCGGUCUAGAGUAUGGAAGAGGUGAGUGGAAUUCCGAGUGUAGAGGUGAAAUUCGUAGAUAUUCGCAAGAACACCGGUGGCGAAGGCGGGUCUCUGGACCAUAACUGACACUGAGGCACGAAAGCCGGGGGGAGCAAACAGG